rnacentral:lncRNA from 1 species
AAACUGGUAGAUUCUUAGUUGUAUGUUUUUAUAGACCUCCAAAUGCACCAGUCACAUCACUUGACCAUUUUGAAAAUUUAUUAGAUAAUGUAAUAGAUACUGAUAAAAAUGUAAUAUUGCUUGGUGAUUUAAACAUAGAUUUACUAAAAGCAAGUCCGACUAGUAGGAUAUCAAGAAUCUGUGAAAGAUAUGGCAUAGAAAAUGUUGUUAAGGAACCUACUCGAAUAACCUCCUCAACUGCAACACUCUUAG